GAAUUUUGGACAAUGGGCGAAAGCCUGAUCCAGCCAUGCCGCGUGAGUGAAGAAGGCCUUCGGGUUGUAAAGCUCUUUCGGCGGGAACGAAAUAGCGCGGGCGAAUAUCCCGCGUCGAUGACGGUACCCGAAGAAGAAGGACCGGCUAACUACGUGCCAGCAGCCGCGGUAAUACGUAGGGUCCAAGCGUUAAUCGGAAUUACUGGGCGUAAAGCGUGCGUAGGCGGCUUCGCAAGUCCGAUGUGAAAUCCCCGGGCUUAACCUGGGAACUGCGUUGGAAACUAUGAAGCUAGAGUGCGGCAGAGGGGGGUGGAAUUCCAGGUGUAGCAGUGAAAUGCGUAGAUAUCUGGAGGGACACCGAUGGCGAAGGCAGCCCCCUGGGCCAGCACUGACGCUCAUACACGAAAGCGUGGGGAGCAAACAG
rnacentral:rRNA from 1 species